UGAAGUCACGAGCUGCAUUGUCUGGGGUUCGGGUAGCUGUGAAGCAAGCACUCCCUUGGCCACUCCAGCUGGUGUCUCACUAGCCUUGCCAGCGCCUUAUGAUUUCUGACUUUUGAAGAAUAGCUACUCUGACUAAGAGAUGAGUAAAAGGAAAUCCAAAGUGGAGGUCUCAGUUUCAUUGGUGUGUUUGUUGCCUACAUUCACAUAUGUUUAAUGGCAAACCAAGUCUAGACAGAAGGCUUUCUCAAGACAGCAGAAAUUUAUUUAUCAUGAUUUUGGAGGCCAGAAGCCCAACAUCAGGAUGCCAUAUGGUCAGGUCUUCAUGAGGACUUUCUUCCUGGCUUGCAGGUGACACCUUCAUCCUGUAUCCUCACAUGGCAGAGAAGUACAAUAUCCUCACUGAAUCAGGUAUG
rnacentral:lncRNA from 1 species